rnacentral:rRNA from 1 species
GACGAGCGGCGGACGGGUGAGUAAUGCUUGGGAACAUGCCUUGAGGUGGGGGACAACAGUUGGAAACGACUGCUAAUACCGCAUAAUGUCUACGGACCAAAGGGGGCUUCGGCUCUCGCCUUUAGAUUGGCCCAAGUGGGAUUAGCUAGUUGGUGAGGUAAUGGCUCACCAAGGCAACGAUCCCUAGCUGGUUUGAGAGGAUGAUCAGCCACACUGGAACUGAGACACGGUCCAGACUCCUACGGGAGGCAGCAGUGGGGAAUAUUGCACAAUGGGCGCAAGCCUGAUGCAGCCAUGCCGCGUGUGUGAAGAAGGCCUUCGGGUUGUAAAGCACUUUCAGUCAGGAGGAAAGGUUAGUAGUUAAUACCUGCUAGCUGUGACGUUACUGACAGAAGAAGCACCGGCUAACUCCGUGCCAGCAGCCGCGGUAAUACGGAGGGUGCGAGCGUUAAUCGGAAUUACUGGGCGUAAAGCGUACGCAGGCGGUUUGUUAAGCGAGAUGUGAAAGCCCCGGGCUCAACCUGGGAACUGCAUUUCGAACUGGCAAACUAGAGUGUGAUAGAGGGUGGUAGAAUUUCAGGUGUAGCGGUGAAAUGCGUAGAGAUCUGAAGGAAUACCGAUGGCGAAGGCAGCCACCUGGGUCAACACUGACGCUCAUGUACG